UACGUAGGGUGCAAGCGUUGUCCGGAAUUAUUGGGCGUAAAGAGCUCGUAGGCGGUUUGUUGCGUCGGCUGUGAAAUCCCGAGGCUCAACCUCGGGUCUGCAGUCGAUACGAGCAAACUAGAGUGUUGCAGGGGAGACUGGGAAUUCCUGGUGUAGCGGUGAAAUGCGCAGAUAUCAGGAGGAACACCGGUGGCGAAGGCGGGUCUCUGGGCAACAACUGACGCUGGAGGAGCGAAAAGCGUGGGGGAGCGAACAGG
rnacentral:rRNA from 1 species